UCCUGAGAAGACAAAAGGAUUCAGUGAUACAAGCUAACGCAGAUCACAUUAAGCAGAAGCACACUACCAGAGUGACAAAAUGAUGAGGGUUCUGAUUCUUGCACUUCUCUUUGGGGUGGUUUUCUCACGUCGUGAAACUCCUCUACAGUGUUGUACAUCCCCUGACUGCUCCACCACAGAAACCUGUGACCUCAAGAAAGAUGCCUGUAUCACAUCCAAACUCAAACACUAUCCAUUUACAACAUUUUGGAGAUGCGGGAGAAGAUAUGAAUGCCUUAUAUCCAUCCCUGUUUUCACCACACGGUGUUGUCAGACAGACCUCUGCAAUAAUAAACCCAUAGAGUAAAUCCUCCAGGUGAUAUAUUUGACACAUGAAGCUCUAAACAAAGAAGAACAGCUGGGCAGGAGAUGUUCAGAGAUGAAAUAUAAUACAAUAUAAUAAUAGGUGUUUUGGCUGUUAAAAAAAAAAUAAAAUAAUUGUUUGAG